CCCUUAGAUGUCCUGGGCCGCACGCGCGCUACACUGACAGAGCCAACGAGUUUAUCACCUUGACCGAUAGGCCUGGGUAAUCUUGUUAAACUCUGUCGUGCUGGGGAUAGAGCAUUGCAAUUAUCGCUCUUCAACGAGGAAUGCCUAGUAAGCGCGUGUCAUCAGCAUGCGUUGAUUACGUCCCUGCCCUUUGUACACACCGCCCGUCGCUACUACCGAUUGAAUGGCUUAGUGAGGCCUUCGGACUGGCUCAGGGAGGUCGGCAACGACCACCCAGAGCCGGAAAGUUCGUCAAACUACGUCAUUUAGAGGAAGUAAAAGUCGUAACA
rnacentral:rRNA from 1 species